AAAACGAUUAUUACCAGCAUUAGGCCAUGAGGAGAAAGACAAAUCUCUGCUUUUAUAGCCGUGAGUCUUACAUAGCGAUGGUAUGCUGGUUUCUCCUUUAAAACACCUCAGUGGUUGUUCUAAAAAAGAGAUAAAACUCCCGGCUGCCAGGAAGCUAGCCUUUCAAAUCCUACACUCUCUCCUCGGUGUUCCCAACCACAGAGGAGUUGUGACUCAGAGGCAGGCAAAUAGUGGUCUUUACAGCUGAAUAUUCAUCAGAAUGGGUGAAGACAUGCUGUGCUUGAUCCUGAAUUAUGUCAUAUAGCGAUAUAUUCAACAAGGAAUGGCGUUUUACAGAACAUUCCUGAGGCAAGUCUGAUGCCUCAAUAAAUCUGCCCCACUCUCUCUCUCUCUCUCUCUCUCUCUCCCUUAGUUUGUCUCAGUGGAAUGUCAGCUGGCAAGUGCCCAGACAUUGAGACUUAGCCUUUCAGAACGUGCCAGUCUCACCCAAGCUUCAGAAGUGGGCAAGCGCAGAAGCAGCAGUCCCCUUAUCAAAGCGCUUGUCCAGCAGGGCUCACGGCUCAGUGAACCACUGAUCACCAAAUCCUCUGACCUGCCGUUAACCCGCCCGACUCAGAGCGACAGUGACAGAAGAGUCUGUCAUGUUGAAGACCUACAGAGAGACUACUGAGAGCUACGGAGAUGAUAUGAUGUUAGAAUGCCUAGUGCAUCAUCAUUUACAUGGGGUCAGAUGAACAAAUAUCUCUACAAUACCACAUGCCACAAUGGCAAAAGAAAAUUAGUUUU